rnacentral:rRNA from 1 species
AUACCNNGGUNGUCCACGCCGUAAACGAUNNUCACUCNCUGUUUGCGAUNCACAGCAAGCGGCCAAGCGAAAGCAUUAAGUGNNCCACCUGGGGAGUACGAUCGCAAGGUUGAAACUCAAAGGAAUUGACGGGGGCCCGCACAAGCGGAGGAACAUGUGGUUUAAUUNGAUGAUACGCGAGGAACCUUACCUGGGCUUAAAUGUAGAGCGACAGAUUGUGAAAGCAGUCCUUCUUCGGACGAUCUACAAGGUGCUGCAUGGUUGUCGUCAGCUCGUGCCGUGAGGUGUCGGGUUAAGUCCCAUAACGAGCGCAACCCUUAUCGUUAGUUGCCAGCGGGUCAAGCCGGGGACUCUAGCGAGACUGCCACCGUAAGGUGUGAGGAAGGUGGGGAUGACGUCAAAUCAGCACGGCCCUUAUGUCCAGGGCUACACACGUGUUACAAUGGCCGAUACAAAGGGCAGCUACCAGGUGACUGGAUGCUAAUCUCCAAAGUCGGUCUCAGUUCGGAUCGAAGUCUGCAACCCGACUUCGUGAAGCUGGAUUCGCUAGUAAUCGCAUAUCAGCCAUGAUGCGGUGAAUACGUUCCCGGGCCUUGCACACACCGCCCGUC